rnacentral:rRNA from 1 species
UACGGGGGGGGGGCAAGCGUUUGUUUCGGAAUUACUGGGGCGUAAAAGGGCUCGUAGGCGGCCAACUAAGUCGGAUGUGAAAUCCCCAAGCUUAACUUGGGAACUGCAUCCGAUACUGGAUGGCUUGAAUCCGGGAGAGGGAUGCAGAAUUCCAGGUGUAGCGGUGAAAAUGCGUAGAUAUCUGGAGGAAUACCGGUGGCGAAGGCGGCAUCCUGGACCGGCAUUGACGCUGAGGAGCGAAAAGCUAGGGGAGCAAACAGG